UUUCAAUGAUGAUAUGCUUUUGGUCCGUGUUUAUGAGUACUCAUGAUUUUGUAUUCAAAAGCUCUGAUUAU